GGUUUUCCCACUGAAUUUAA
rnacentral:rRNA from 1 species